AGGGUUGUAGCUCAGCAGGCACAGCAUCUGCCUGGCAAGCACAAGGUCCUGAGUUUAAGCCCCAGUACCCCCC
rnacentral:tRNA from 1 species